rnacentral:rRNA from 1 species
GAUGAACGCUGGCGGCGUGCCUAAUACAUGCAAGUCGAGCGAACAGACGAGGAGCUUGCUCCGCUGACGUUAGCGGCGGACGGGUGAGUAACACGUGGAUAACCUACCUAUAAGACUGGGAUAACUUCGGGAAACCGGAGCUAAUACCGGAUAAUAUAUUGAACCGCAUGGUUCAAUAGUGAAAGACGGGUUUGCUGUCACUUAGCGAUGGAUCCGCGCGUCUUUAGUUAGUUGGUAAGGUAACGGCUUACCAAGGCAACGAUGCGUAGCCGACCUGAGAGGGGGAUCCGCGCCUCUGGACCUGAGCCGCGGCCCUGACUCUGACGCGCGGCCCCGGCUGGUACUCUUCCGCACUGUGCGAAAUCUUGCCCGAUCAACGCCGCCCGAGUGCUGAAGGUCCUCGGGUCGUAUAACGCUCUUAUUAUUGUAGACCAAAUGUGUUAGUAACGAAGCACGUCUUGCCGUUACCUAAGCAGAAAGCCCCGCCUACUUCCGU